UACGUAGGCAGCAAGCGUUGUUCGGAGUUACUGGGCGUAAAGGGUGUGUAGGCGGUUCUCUAAGUCUGGUGUGAAAUCUCCCGCUCAACUGGGAGGGUGCGCCGAAAACUGGAGGACUAGAGUGCGGGAUGGGAGAGUGGAAUUCCUGGUGUAGCGGUGAAAUGCGUAGAUAUCAGGAGGAACACCUGUGGUGUAGACGGCUCUCUGGACCGCAACUGACGCUGAGACACGAAAGCGUGGGUAGCAAACAGG
rnacentral:rRNA from 1 species